rnacentral:lncRNA from 1 species
CCUCUUCUAGCACAUUUAUCUUAAUCUUUUGGGAUUUUAAAUUGUUAUAAUAGAUGAGGAAGUGAGGAUCAUUAUAUGCUCUUUUGAAACGAGGAUCAUUUUUUUCUUUUUUGGUCAGAAAUAUGCAAAUUUCAUUAAGUAUGCAAAGAUGAGAGGCCCGAUAAAUGGACAUCAUUACAUAAUAAGUCUAGCAAAGUUCGGGGAGAGGAUAAGACCCAAUUCAAAGGUAAGUGUUUUUUCUUAUAAGCUUUAGCAACCCAAUCUGCAACCAUAUUAGCCUCUCUAAAACAAUGGGCUAUAUAAAAAUUUGUGAAGGCUCGUAGUUUUUCCUUGCAUUUACUGAUAAUAGGCUGGAUUUCCCAACUCAGCUGAUCUGAUCUGUUCAUGGCUUGGACAAGUUGCAAACUGUUUGACUCAAAAGAUAAGUGCUUCGUGUCUUUGUGGGUAGAAAAAGUCAAUGCCUUCCCAAGGGUUUCGGCCAUGAGGGGAGAAGAAGCUUUGAUCUCCUUAACCACGCCUUCCACCAACCUCCCUUCCGAAUCUCUGCACACAUAAGCUAUGGAGUUCCUCAACAAACCAGGUUCGUGCGUCCCAUCUACAUUAAUCUUCCAAGCUCCUUCGUGUGGUGGAAUCCAUUGCUGAGGUGGUUCAAUUUCGUGGGUUUCAGAUCUGGUAUUUUCGUGGGUUUUCUGUCCAGCACCCCUCUGAUUCGGUCCUUCUUUGCGCCGAGAUCUCGGUUCCUCUCUUUCUUCUCUGCUCCGUGGACCGGCGUUGCCUCUGGUGGCCAACCCAACAAACCCCUGUUUCAGCUCACCGCUCGGUCGAAGACGCCUGUGCUCUGUUCCUUUCUCCGAUCGUUCCUCCUCGCUGACGCUCUCCGCUCGGGUUGGAGGUCUUAGAACGUCACUUGGCCUCCCAGCUGCAGAUCCACCGGUUCUUCCCUCAGUUCGUCCUUCAUAGUGCUUUCCCGAGGGGUUCAUCGAGGAAGGCUCUGCACCGGUCCCUGUUCUGCUACUGAUUUCAGCUUGCUCUUGUGCAGCAAGCCGUCUAUUGCCCCCACUCCAGGCGCCAUUGAGUUCCGAUCGCAGGUAUAUGCUUGGUUCAUCUGCUCUUUCCUCCUGUUCAUCAUCUGUUCUGAGUCCUAUCGUGCUGGUUUCAGCUCGUUGUGCCCCACCCGACUCUCUAUCUGCUUGUUGCUCAUUGAUUUGCUCUAUGUGCUCUGUUGGGGUUGCUCUGUUCUUAGAUCUGUCUUUAUAAUCACCCGUCCGUGGAUUCCACUUUUGAUGACUGUUUAGUGUUUGCUUGGGCAGAGUCUAGGAUGGCCGACGCCUCUGGUUCCCUUCCAAUCAAGGAUCAUUUAGAUGCGCCGAAUGAUGGUACUUUUUGAAGAAAACUUCAUCUAAGAAACUAAAAGGAGGUGGGGAUAACUACACAGAUAGUCAUUGAACUUUUUGCUUUAUUACAUAAUAUCAUCCAUGAAUUUUUAAUUUGUUUAAUAUGGUCUUUAAACUUUCGCUUACUAUGCAAUAUUCCCCAUAAACUUUUAAUUUGUUCAAUGCGGU